UACGUAGGGUGCAAGCGUUGUCCGGAAUUAUUGGGCGUAAAGAGCUCGUAGGCGGUCUGUCGCGUCGGCUGUGAAAACCCGGGGCUCAACCCCGGGCCUGCAGUCGAUACGGGCAGACUAGAGUGCGGUAGGGGAGACUGGAAUUCCUGGUGUAGCGGUGAAAUGCGUAGAUAUCGGGAGGAACACCAGUGGCGAAGGCGGCUUCCUGGCCUGUUCUUGACGCUGAGGCGCGAAAGCUAGGGGAGCAAACGGG
rnacentral:rRNA from 1 species